rnacentral:rRNA from 1 species
GACGAACGCUGGCGGCGUGCUUAACACAUGCAAGUCGAACGGAAAGGCCCUUCUUUUGUGGGGUGCUCGAGUGGCGAACGUGUGAGUAACACGUGAGUAACCUGCCCUUGACUUUGGGAUAACUUCAGGAAGCUUGGGCUAACACCGUAUAGGAGUUCCUGCUGCAUGUUGGGGGUUGAAAAGUUUCGGCGGUUGGGGAUGGACUCGCGGCUUAUCAGCUUGUUGGUGGGGUAGCGGCUUACCAAGGCUUUGACGGGUAGCCGGCCUGAGAGGGUGAACGGCCAAAUUGGGACUGAGGUAAGGCCCAGACUCCUACGGGAGGCAGGAGUGGGGAAUAGUGGACAAUGGGCGGAAGACUGAGGUAGCAACGUCGUGUGCGGGAUGACGGCCUUCGGGUUGUAUAAAGCUUUCGCCUGUGACGAAGCGUGAGUGACGGUAAUGGGUAAAGAAGCACCGGCUAACUACGUG